rnacentral:lncRNA from 1 species
GUGAUCGAUUUGGCGUGGAAUGACUCAAUAGCGUUAACAAGCAUCAUUUUUUCCAUUUGUAUUGACGCUUUAAAACACCUCGUAAAUUUACUUGUCAUCUGAAAAUAAGGAUAAAAUUCAAGUUGGAAAUAUGAAGAGCACGAAAGACAAAAAUAGGAAGGAAAAUGGAAUAUAUAACUAUAAAAAGAUAUCAAUAUUGGAAAAAUAUGGGAGAUCCGAAAAAAUGUUUCAGGCAAAAUCUGUGAUACGUUAUCCAAAAAAUACCGUUACAAAAGGACUGACGCCCGUCCUCGGUACCCUUCGAGAAAAACUCAGUUCAUGAUGGAAGUAGUUAUUGAAGACGAAACGAAAGUUACAAAUUCUAAAGGCAUUGUCCGAAAAAAUGUAAAACUAAAUUGUCGGCGAUAGCUAAAUUCUGUUUUUCAAAAAUAACUGUCAGUCCCGGACCCAUCACAAACUACCUACGAAACCCCGCGUAUUGUAUUCCAUGGCUAGUUUGGAACAUGCAAAAAAGAAAUGUACAUGCGAUAAUUACAGUAGUUGCACAUACCUGUAAAUAUCGAGUAUUGUAAGCAUCAAUUGUAACAAAAGAAUCAAGAGUUUAAUUGUAUGUACAUGUACAAUUCAACUAGAUAUCCCAUAAGAAAAACGCGAAGUUUGCGAAAAAGUUGAGUUUGAACGUUUGUUCAAAUACACGUAUACAAUUAAGCCCGUCCAAACGUUUGUUUAAUAAUAUCUACAUAAACACAAAGUGUUAGGAAUAAACAUGUUCGAGAAAUUUUAUGAUAAAAAUACAAUGGAUGCACAGAAUAUAAACUUACAAAUAAGAUUUCAAAUCAGGUACAAAAUACUUAGACUAAAAGUCGUUCAAUUUCUUGCUGUAUGGCUUGAAUUUGUGGUUUUAAUUGUGAUCCUUCAUUAACUGUCACA